rnacentral:rRNA from 1 species
AGCCUGAUGCAGCGACGCCGCGUGAGGGAUGAAGGCCUUCGGGUUGUAAACCUCUUUCAGUAGGGAAGAAGCGAAAGUGACGGUACCUGCAGAAGAAGCGCCGGCUAACUACGUGCCAGCAGCCGCGGUAAUACGUAGGGCGCAAGCGUUAUCCGGAAUUAUUGGGCGUAAAGAGCUCGUAGGCGGUUUGUCGCGUCUGCCGUGAAAGUCCGGGGCUUAACUCCGGAUCUGCGGUGGGUACGGGCAGACUUGAGUGAUGUAGGGGAGACUGGAAUUCCUGGUGUAGCGGUGAAAUGCGCAGAUAUCAGGAGGAACACCGAUGGCGAAGGCAGGUCUCUGGGCAUUAACUGACGCUGAGGAGCGAAAGCAUGGGGAGCGAACAGGAUUAGAUACCCUGGUAGUCCAUGCCGUAAACGUUGGGCACUAGGUGUGGGGGACAUUCCACGUUUUCCGCGCCGUAGCUAACGCAUUAAGUGCCCCGCCUGGGGAGUACGGCCGCAAGGCUAAAACUCAAAGGAAUUGACGGGGGCCCGCACAAGCGGCGGAGCAUGCGGAUUAAUUCGAUGCAACGCGAAGAACCUUACCAAGGCUUGACAUGAACCGGAACGGCGCAGAGAUGUGUCGGCCACUUGUGGCCGGUUUACAGGUGGUGCAUGGUUGUCGUCAGCUCGUGUCGUGAGAUGUUGGGUUAAGUCCCGCAACGAGCGCAACCCUCGUUCCAUGUUGCCAGCGGGUUAUGCCGGGGACUCAUGGGAGACUGCCGGGGUCAACUCGGAGGAAGGUGGGGACGACGUCAAAUCAUCAUGCCCCUUAUGUCUUGGGCUUCACGCAUGCUACAAUGGCCGGUACAAAGGGUUGCGAUGCUGUGAGGUGGAGCUAAUCCCAAAAAGCCGGUCUCAGUUCGGAUUGAGGUCUGCAACUCGACCUCAUGAAGUCGGAGUCGCUAGUAAUCGCAGAUCAGCAACGCUGCGGUGAAUACGUUCCCGGGCCUUGUACACACCGCCCGUCAAGUCACGAAAGUUGGUAACACCCGAAGCCGGUGGCCUAACCCCUUGUGGGAGGGAGC